rnacentral:rRNA from 1 species
UACGAAGGGAACUAGCGUUGUUCGGAUUUACUGGGCGUAAAGAGCAUGUAGGCGGAUUGGACAGUUGAGGGUGAAAUCCCAGAGCUCAACUCUGGAACGGCCUUCAAUACUUCCAGUCUAGAGUCCGUAAGGGGUGGUGGAAUUCCGAGUGUAGAGGUGAAAUUACGUAGAUAUUCGGAGGAACACCAGUGGCGAAGGCGACCACCUGGUACGGUACUGACGCUGAGAUGCGAAAGCGUGGGGAGCAAACAGGAUUAGAUACCCGCGUAGU